rnacentral:lncRNA from 10 species
CCUUGCCUUGUAGAUGUCUGUUUCCUCCCUGUGUCUUCAUGUUGUCUUCCUUCUCUGUGUGCCUGUAUCUGUGUCCUAUUUUCCCCUUCAUAGAACUAGGUUUCCACCUUAAGGACCUCAUUUUAACUUGAUUACCUCCAUAAAGACCUUAUCUCCAAAUAAGGUCACAUUCGGAGGUACUGGGAGUUAGGACUCCAGCAUAUAUUUUUAGGGGACUCAUAGCACUCAGUAGCAGAAGUCUGAUUUUAUUUAAGAGGCUAUGUAUCCAGCUAACAGAUUGCCUUUCCCAGCAUCCCUUGCAGCCCAUGCUGUUUAUAUGAACAAGUUCUGACUGAUGAGAUAUAAGCAGAAGUUGAUGGGGGAGAUGUUGGGGACAGUUGCGUAGAAGAGUCUCAGAUAGGUAGAAGAGGCCCUUUUCUCUAUCUUCUUCCUGCUUCUCACCUGGAUUUGAAGAUGUGAUAGCUAGAGUUCUAGCAUCCAUCUUGGGCCUUGAGGCAAGUUUGAAGUUGGAAGCUGUGGUCUAAGGAUAGUGGAGCAGAAGCUGAAGGAGCCUGAAUCUCUGUGAAGACAAAGGCACUGCCAGAUCAGCCAGACGACCCACCUCCAACCCUUUCUCCUUUUCUUCUUUUUUAAUUUUUUUUUUUUUUUUUGAGAUGGGGUCUUGCUCUGUCACCCAAGCUGGAGUGCAGUGGCACAGUCACAGCUCACGGCAGCCUCAAACUCCCAGGCUCAAGCAAUCCUCCCAACCCAGCCUCUGAGUAGCUGUUACCACAGGUGAGCCCCACCACACCCGGCUAAUAUUUUUUUGAUCUCACCAUGUUGCCCAGGCUGGCCUC